GAUGAACGCUGGCGGCGUGCUUAACACAUGCAAGUCGAACGGUGAAGGCGGAGCUUGCUCUGCUGGAUCAGUGGCGAACGGGUGAGUAACACGUGAGCAAUCUGCCCCUGACUCUGGGAUAAGCGCUGGAAACGGCGUCUAAUACUGGAUACGAGCUGCGAAGGCAUCUUCAGCAGCUGGAAAGAAUUUCGGUCAGGGAUGAGCUCGCGGCCUAUCAGCUUGUUGGUGAGGUAAUGGCUCACCAAGGCGUCGACGGGUAGCCGGCCUGAGAGGGUGACCGGCCACACUGGGACUGAGACACGGCCCAGACUCCUACGGGAGGCAGCAGUGGGGAAUAUUGCACAAUGGGCGAAAGCCUGAUGCUGCAACGCCGCGUGAGGGACGACGGCCCUCGGGUUGUAAACCUCUUUUAGCAGGGAAGAAGCGAAAGUGACGGUACCUGCAGAAAAAGCGCCGGCUAACUACGUG
rnacentral:rRNA from 1 species